CAAGGGUCCUGAAGUAAGGAAAAACCCAUUCCAGAAGUGGAAGCCCAGGGGUCUGGAAAGCUGUGUUGCUCACUGCUACCACGGUGAGAGAAGCAACCUAGAAAUGGGAAACAAGAUAGAAAAACAGAAACCAAAAUCCUGAAAUCUCCACUGACAUGGACACUGAGAUCUUGUCCUCUGGAUGACAUAGCCAUCACCCUCAGGCUAACCUGCCAUCUGUGAUGAGAAGACUCCCUGAUGAAGUUCUUCCCAACCAGCUUUCACCUAUGCCUCCCAAAAGGAGAGAUCUCCACUUCUCUCAGAAACGCUAUCUUUUGCAGAAUCAAGUGGCUUUUAAAGUGCGUCUUUCUCUCACCCCUGGCUUGAGUGUGAAUAUGAUUGCCACCAUCUUGGAUCCGAUGGAAGACACAGCACCUUGAGGAAAGUUGAACAAGAGAGAUUGCUGCUACUGUGGAUCUUCAAUGCCAGCUCCUUACUUCUUAUAUUUGGACAGGGACGUGAUUAAAU
rnacentral:lncRNA from 1 species